UCUUUAGUUGUAGUGGUGAAAAAUGGACGACAUGCAUGAUGACUUCUUGGUGUUGUCUACUGAGGAUAACGUUGCGGAAAAUGUUAACAUUGUCGAAAAUGAAAUGAUAGAAGGGGAUGGUGUGAUCGUUCCUAAGGUGGGUAUGAUCUUUAAGGAUGAAAAAGAAAUGUUUGAGAUGUACAAGAAAUAUGCUUAUAACGUCGAUUUUCCAGUUAGGAACAAAUAUUCUAAAAAGAGUAAGGAUGGAGUUCUUAGAUAGGUGACCUUCACUUGUAGUCGUAAAGGUCGAAGAAGCUAUAGUACAAAGGGUUCUUUGAAGCCACAGCCAACAUGUCAGACAAACUGUAAAGGAAGGAUCUCGGCAUCUUCAAGUGUUCAAGGAAAUUGGAGAAUUAACACAGUCCACUUCGAGCACAAUCAUAAAACAAGUCCUUCAAAGUCUAGGCUGUAUCGAUGCAAUAGAGAAUUGACUACAAAUGUGAAGCGUAAGCUCAAGGUGAAUGAUAUUGUAGGAAUUCCAUUACACAAAAGGUACAACUCCGCAGUUGUCGAAGCAGGCGAAUAUGAGAAUAUGACAUGCCUUGAAAAGGAUUGUCGGAACUAUGUUGAACAAGUAAGACGAUUACGACUUGGAGUAAGAGAUGCCGCCACUAUACAAAUAUACUUUUCAAAGAUGCAAGCAUAGUGCUCCGAAUUUUAUUUCAACAUGGACCUAGACGAUGAGUCACGGUUAAAAAACGUAUUUUGGGCAGAAAAUAGGUGCAGACAAGCAUACAAGGAGUUCGGUGAUGUCGUCACAUUUGACACCACUUAUCUUACUAAUAAGUUCGACAUGCCUUUCACACCCUUCAUUGGAGUGAAUCACCAUGGACAAUCAAUAUUGCUUGGGUGUGGUUUAUUAUCAAAUGAGGAUACAGAUAUUUUUGAGUGGCUUUUGAAGACGUGGCUUCAGUGUGUAAAUGGGUCUUUGCAUAGAAUAAUUACUGAUCAGGACAAAGCAAUGCAAAAUGCAAUUCAGAUUGUUUUUCCAAAUACAAGACAUGAAUGGUGUUUGCUGCACAUUAUGAAGAAGUUGCCAGAGAAGUUUGGUUAUCACGUUGAUAAGGCAUCGAUAUUCUCGUCUAUACACAAACUAGUAUAUGAUUCUCAGUUUGUUCAAGAAUUUGAAGAAGGUUAGUGGUCGAUGAUCGACGAGUUUGAAUGACAUGAUAAUAAUUGGUUGUCGGGUCUAUAUGAGAAUAGAGGUCUCCGGGUGCCAUGUUUUUUGAAUACCAAUUUUUGGGCGGGGAUGUCAAUAGCGCAGUGAAGUGAGAGUAUGCAUGCCUUUUUUGAUGGAUAUGUCCAUUUGAAAACCUCGUUGAACCAAUUUGUAGAACAGUACAAAAGAGCUCUGUGAAAGAAGGUAGAGAAAAAACUUCAGGCUAAUUUUAAAUCAUUCACGCAAAUAUUCCCUGUGCUACAAAUUUUGAGAUUGAGAAGUUAUUUCAAUAAGUUUACACUAUGUCCAAAUUCAAGGAAGUUCAAGAUGAGUUCACGGGAAAGGUUUACUGUGACAUCAUAUCUGUUUCUGAGGGAUGUUCGGGGACUGCAUAUGAGGUACGAGAGGAUGUUAUGUAUAAUGAGCACCAGAAGAAAAGAAUAAUUUUCGUUUCUUUUCGGAGAGAUGGAUGUGAGAUUAGUUGCUACUGCCACUUGUUCGAGUUCGGAGCAUAAUUUGUAGGCACGCGAUCACAGUUUUGAUCCACAAUGAUGUCACAUUACUUUCGAAGAGAUAUAUAAUACGGAGAUGGAGGAGAGAUGUACGUAGAGCACUCACUAGGGUAAUAGUGAACUACAAUGGUUUGAUUAGUACUCUAGAGCAAUUGAGAUACAAUGAUAUGUGUCAGGCUUUUACAGAGGUAGCAGACCUUGCUACAGAUGAUGAAGUGUGGACACGUGAGGUAAUGGAUUGGAUAAACAACAAGGCGAAAGAUUUGAGGUUAAACAAGUCAAGCAGUGAAAGCAAUUUUGUGUGACAACAUAAUAUUCAGUUAGAAUCCCAGUGCUGUGAUUCGCUUAAUAGUGCAAAUGCGAGCAUACUAGAUCCAAAAUCGUCGAAAAGAAAAGGUGCACCAAGGAAACUUCGAAAAAAAAAGCCAAUUGGAGUCGAUUUCAAAGAAAUCGAAGGUGUGUACUUGCCUAUGAUCUUUUCCAUUCUAACAUAGUCCUUUACCAAAUUUUAAUUCAUCUUAAUGUACAUGCAGGCAACUUCAAAUUUAAACAAAGGAAAGAGACCGAAACCAUGGGAUAGUAAUACAGAUGAGGCUACACCCAACAUUCAACCAUUUCAACAAACACAAUAUUCACAAUCAAUGUCGUUCUCGUAUUCACACCUAUUAUUGGUUAGUAUAUUGAUUUUACAUAAUUGUGGCUUUUUGAAUAGUAAUUUAAUUUGCUCUUUGAUGUAGGCCGACACUAGAACUCACGUGUUUACCCAACAAUUACUGGAUAUGAAUUUGACCCCUCCGUCGUCUUUGAACAAUGUACUCGGUUCUGCGGGUAUGGGCAUUUUUCAAUCAUUCUAACUCAAUAUGUGCAUGGACAGUAUUAAUGCAGUAAUGUCCGUGGUGCACAUUAGGUCAAUCGUUGCAAUCCUGCUACUCACAUUUACUGUAUAAUGGUGGCGCAGGAACAUAGGCGAGUGGAAGUUCGGUGAUUUUUUUUUUUACUUUGUUUUUUAUCUUUUGCAUUGCUAAAUGCAAAAUGGUAAUAUGGGCUUGGAGAGCAUUGUAAUGUUUUGUUUAUGCCGUCUUACAGAUUGUCCAUAAGAAGACAGCUUCUAU
rnacentral:lncRNA from 1 species